UCUCGGCACGUCUUCCGCUUUUGUUUUGUCCCGUUGUCCUGUCGACUGCGCCAGCCCCAGGAUCGCGCGUUGCUAUUUCCAUCGCCUCUCUCGACGAGCAGUGCGGAGAAGCGGCCCCCGCGGUAUGCUCGCAUCGGGGCUGCGGCGCCUGAAGCCGGCGUGCGGAUGAGUGUCACCGGCUGAGUUCAGUGGUGUGGCAAGUGCGCCGGCGAAUUUGGAAAGUGUGCACUAUUUGGUCUGCGCUGGAUCUGUGUGUUUCGCGGCAGAGAUACCGGUGUGCUUUCGACAACGUCUCCGCUGGCCGGUGACGAACGAUGCAGCGUUCCAGUCGGACAUCGGU
rnacentral:lncRNA from 1 species